AGAGGCGGGGUUGCUGCCUGAGCUAGAGAGAGCCGCGUGGCGGGCGCGCUUGUUCUAGUUGCGGAGGGACGGCAGUAGCUGCUCGUCGUGGUGGUGGUGGUGGGAGGGAGGUUUCCUGCGCGCCGGACACUGGGCCCCGUCUCGCUCCCAGCCACGGGGCUACGUUCUUCUGGCGCUCUGCUUGGCGCGCGCUCCCGCCCGGCCGAGGCCUGUUUUCUCAGAGCAGAACAUGGCCCCGGGGGAAGGGGGGCGCCGGUGGCGCGACCAGAGGCGGUUGGGGAGGGGGCCGCCACCGCCUUUCCGGUAACGUGGCUCAUUGUGUCCCUGCAGGUGGGGACCGGACCGCAGCGGAGCCGCCGCCGGGGGGAGCGGGACGCAGCAGGAACCUUGCAGACCCAGAGCAGCCAGCAGUUGCCAGGACAAACAUUCCUAAGUUGUGAGGACUUCGAAGAAGGUGGGGUAAACAACACAGCCAGACUUGUAGAAACUUGAAGUAAAACAAGUUUGCCCAAGGGCCAUUUUAAAAAAAACAAAACACCCUUUUGAUUGCUGGUUGAAAGGAGAGCCAGCAGUGAAAAUUGUACUAUUUGCUUUUGAAAGUGGUGCAACAUAACCCAACCCAAGAAAGGCUGCAGCCAGCCAGCAACAUGAGCAAGUGUUAAAAGACCUGUCUAAUAAAUGCUAAAAUCUGGUUUGG